GGGUCGACCACUACACUUAAAAACGCUUAAAUAAUUUAAAAGCCCAUACUAUUAUACUAGUAUAAUAAUAAUAUAUAUAUAUAUAUAUGUAUGUACACGCACUCGGUAUUAAAUUGUACGUAAAUUCACGUAUUGUACGCAGAUAGAAUCGCGCGCUAAACGAAUAAAUAACGGCAGUGCUCGAAUUAGAAAAAAGCGGUGCUAUCGAGCUUUAAAAAAAAUAAGCAUCCCCUCAAAUUAUGGAUUAAUGCUGUAAAAUAUAAUUAGUGUGGGAGCCGUAAAAAUGUUUAAAAAUAGUAGUGGAACUCCGUCCCCCUGUGCACCCCAUCCCCUCAUUUCAAGCACUGAAUAUCGGGUGCUACGAGUAAUUGUUGAUCGUUUGAGCUAAACGUUUCGAAGCAUAAUAAUUGAAAAUAUUC